ensembl:lncRNA
GUUGGCGGACUCGGGAAGGAGCAAAGAUGGCGGAGUGAGGCGAGGUGCGGCGCGGCAAGCCGGCCUUGGGCCGGGGACGUGCCGGUCCCCGGGAGGUCGAGUACUUCUGCUGGCCCGCACGAGGAAGAACAUUUUCCUUGACUUCCAGGUGCUUUUGUAUUCAUCUCUAAAAGAAAACAGAAUUCUGAGCUCAGGACUUGGCAAGGAGCUGUGCAGGUAAUGCUCAAUAAUGUAGAUCAGAAGAGGAACCAUUCUGCCUAAGAGCAUCUUCACCAUCCCUACACCACCUAUGCUCUUCUGUGCUAUAGCUGUCAAUACACGGCCAAGAAAACUGAGUGCUCCAGAAGAAUGUACAUCUCUCACUUCUUUCUUUUCUCAGAGUGUUUUACAUCAUUCUCUACCCAAAGGGACCAGGAUUUGCAGUUAAGCCUUUUAUAACUGAAUAGUGGUCCUAAUACUAACCUUCUUGUGUGGGACUUUUGUACCUCUUCUGAAGCAGGAUUGUGAUAGAUGUGGAGCACCUGCCUACAUUUCUAAGCAAUCACUUUAUUAACCCACAUUUUUGGUUGAAACUGCAUGUAUCUUUGGUAUUUCCCCUAAUUCCUCUGAAUCAAGGGGUUUACCCUGCAUGUUUAUUAAAAGUGGGUCUGGAUGAAAGUGCAAGCAAUAGUGGCAGGCCCAUAACUGCAGUCUUAAGAGUACUAAUAUCCUAAUGCAUGGUUGAAAAUGUCCAGUGUUAUGUGGUUACUAGUAUUUAUAUAUAUGCAUUUAUUAAUAAUGAAGCAAUAGAGAUGUAAACCGAUAGUUUGUAUUUAUUGUUUGGAUUAUUAGUUUUCAUUUUCUAAUUAAAAAUUAUCUUACUUCCAUUUAAAAUGGGAGCUAGAAGAUAAACAGGGGCAACCACAAGACAUUCAAACUGUCAGGAAUAGAGCAUAAUAGUGCUCACCCUCUAACCUCUUGCCUGGUUCCCUUAGUCCCUAAGCAUGUUUAAAAGCAAAAGGCACAAACUAAGCAUGUUGAAUGAAUAAAUAAGCUGCUAUGGCUGUAAUAAUCAGAAAGGUGCAGAGUUUCAGAAAGGAUAGGAAAGUAGGGAAUCCCAGUGUGGCGCAUGUGAAAUAACUAGGUAUGAGGCUUGACAGAUAAAGUGUGCGUGGUUUGGUUUGGAUCUCUUAAAAACUAGUAUCUUGGAAGUGAAUAGAGGCAAUAUGCAUAUUUCAGAUGUUCUAACAUUUUCAGAUAACUAGGCACCUCUUCUGGAUGGUUCUGGUAUUGAUCAACCAUGCAGGAUCCCUGGAGCAAAGGAGACAGUUCCAUUGUCUGGAAAUAGUCCUGAAAACAUUGACAUGUCAUCUGUGGUUUGGUUUCUCUUUUGUUACUGUAUUAAUUUUUUUGUUUUUUAUCUUUUUUUGGUAGCCAGAGUUUUAUCAAUGAUGUUUUGGUCAGACUGCAUAAUUUGUUGCCUAAAGCUUUUUGAUGCCAGGUAAACAAGAGCAAGAUUUCCAAUUCUGAAAAAAGAAAACCCUUGCCAUUUAUUUUCUUAGUUGAUGAAGAAAAUAGAUCCGUUUAUUGUGGUAGCUUAAGACUUUUGAGAAGAUUCUUGACUUCGAAAUAGCCCUUAUAAGUAAAAGUGAUCAUGACAAAUAAUAUGCAAACAGAAUUCAUUAUAUCUGAAAUAGGCCUAAGUAGAAUUCAGGAUUAGACUAGAUGAUUUUCACUAGGCCCCUUCCAGGUUUCAUGUUCUACGAUUGAAAAAUAUUUUUUCUAAAAUUAUGUUAACCUCAUUUUCUUUGCUGUGCGAUUUUACUCCAGAUACCUUUGGGAAUGUUUAAAGGGAAUGGUAACUUUCCAGUAGUUCCAAAUUGAACUGGCAAUUUUCAGGUUUUGUCUCCCUUAGUGAUGGUAUGGCAUGCCAUCAGUUAAAAUGUGUUUUUCUCCCAGGGAUAAGAAAGGUAUUCUGACAAUACAUUAUCAUCAGUCCUUCAACAGCAGUCAGUCUUGGCACGUACUUAAAACCACCUAUCCCUUGUAAUUAAAGAUUCACAUUAGAGUACCUUUCACAUAGUUUUAUUUACUGUCCUAUAAGUAGAGUUGUUGCUCACUGUUUUUACUUGCUAUUCUGCAUCUUCUCCAUUGCACCACUGGUAUAUAAGAUGUUAAAGGAAUUUCAUGAAAUGUUUAAAGUAUUACAAAAGGCAGCUUGCUUUUUAAUCUAUGCAUCUUUGGGGUUUUAGAAGAAAUUUUCUUCUUUGAUGUAAAAAAGGAACUGCUGUAAGAGUUGAAACUCUGCACCUGUGUAUAUAUAUUUUUUGGCAAUAAAGCAGCAUGGGCUGAGAAUGCAC